CUUGUAGCUCAGCAUGGUAGAGCAGGUGGCUUUUAACCACUUGGUCCCGGGUUCGAAUCCCGGCGAG
rnacentral:tRNA from 1 species